GAUGAAGAACGCAGCGAAAUGCGAUAAGUAAUGUGAAUUGCAGAAUUCAGUGAAUCAUCGAAUCUUUGAACGCACAUUGCGCCCGCCAGUAUUCUGGCGGGCAUGCCUGUCCGAGCGUCAUUUCAACCCUCGAACCCCUCCGGGGGGUCGGCGUUGGGGAUCGGCCCUGCCUCUUGGCGGUGGCCGUCUCCGAAAUACAGUGGCGGUCUCGCCGCAGCCUCUCCUGCGCAGUAGUUUGCACACUCGCAUCGGGAGCGCGGUGCGUCCACAGCCGUUAAACACCCAACUUCUGAAAUGUUGACCUCGGAUCAGGUAGGAAUACCCGCUGAACUUAAGCAUAUCAAUAAGCGGAGGA
rnacentral:misc_RNA from 1 species